rnacentral:rRNA from 1 species
UACGAAGGGGACUAGCGUUGUUCGGAAUCACUGGGCGUAAAGCGUGCGCAGGCGGUUGUGCAAGACAGAUGUGAAAUCCCCGGGCUUAACCUGGGAAUUGCAUUUGUGACUGUACGGCUAGAGUGUGUCAGAGGGGGGUAGAAUUCCACGUGUAGCAGUGAAAUGCGUAGAGAUGUGGAGGAAUACCGAUGGCGAAGGCAGCCCCCUGGGAUAACACUGACGCUCAUGCACGAAAGCGUGGGGAGCAAACAGG